GGUUAAGCGACUAAGCGUAAACGGUGGAUGCCCUGGCAGUCAGAGGCGAUGAAGGACGUGCUAAUCUGCGAAAAGGUGGGUAGGUGAUAUGAACCGUUAUAACCGGCGAUGUCCGAAUGGGGAAAACCCAGUGCAAUUCGUUGCACUUAUUGUUUAACUGAAUACAUAGGUUAACGAGGCAACCGGGGGAACUGAAACAUCUAAGUACCCCGAGGAAAGAAAUCAACCGAGAUUCCCCAGUACGAGCGAACGGGGAUGCCCAGAGUCUGAAUCAGCUCGUGCGGUCUGGAAAGUCCGACGGUACAGGGUGAUAGUCCCCACCAAAAUGCACAGGCUGUGAACUCGAAGAGCACGGUAUCCUGUCUGAAUAUGGGGGGACCAUCCUCCAAGGCUAAAUACUCCUGACUGACGAUAGGAAUACCGUGAGGGAAAGGCGAAAAGAACCCCGGCGAGGGGAGUGAAAAAGAACCUGAAACCGUGUACGUACAAGCAGUGGGAGCACCUUCGGGUGAGACUGCGUACCUUUUGUAUAAUGGGUCAGCGACUUAUAUUCUGUAGCAAGGUUAACCGUAUCGGAGAACGCAGGGAAACCGAGUCGCUGGGCGUUAAGUUGCAGGUAUGGACCCGAAACCCGGUGAUCUGGCCAUGGGCAGGUUGAAGGUUGGGUAACAAGGGAGGACCGAACCGACUAAUGUUGAAAAAUUAGCGGAUGACUUGUGGCUGGGGUGAAAGCCAAUCAACCGGGAGAUACUGGUUCUCAGAACAACCUGUGAAUUCAUCUUCGGGGUAGAGCACUGUUUCGAUCGCCCGACUGAAACCCGAUGCAAACUACGAAUACCGAAGAAUGUUAUCACGGGACACACGGCGGGUGCGUCCGUCGUGAAGAGGGAAACAACCCAGACCGCCAGCUAAGUCCCAAAGUCAUGGUUAAGUGGGAAACGAUGUGGGAAGGCACAGACAGCCAUGAUGUUGAAGCAGCCAUGAUUCCCGCCGUACCACGCUCGAUCCAUGCACCGAAGCUGAAGCGAACGAUGUUACCCGGAUCUGAAAGCGGUGAAGGUCUUUGCUGGUUCAGAAUGGCCAGCAGUAUAAAGCGGUGAAGCCGCUCGGGAAGACCAAGCGCGGUGAAAGAGAAGCGUGAUGAAACAUAAAGUCGCGGUCUACGGGAUGACGGAGAAGGCUCCCCUCGCAGGCGGCUUCUCUUAUUAAAUCCGAGCGGCGAGGUGUAUUACCGAAGGGAUCACCUACAAAUGAUGCCCAGGCGCAUCAGGUAACAUUAAAUCGUACCCCAAACCGACACAGGUGGUCAGGUAGAGAAUACCAAGGCGAGAGAACUCGGGUGAAGGAAGCGGGCAAAAUGGUGCCGUAACUUCGAGAAGCACGCUGCAAAGCCCUGCGGGUGGAUUGAGACCAGGAAGAUACCAGCUGGCUGCACUGUUUAUUAAAAACACAGCACUGUGCAACACGAAAGUGGACGUAUACGGUGUGACGCCUGCCCGGUGCCGGAAGGUUAAUUGAUGGGGUUAUCCGUAAGGAGAAUCUUGAUCGAAGCCCCGGUAAACGGCGCCGUAACUAUAACGUUCGUAGUAGCGAAAUUCCUUGUCGGGUAAGUUCCGACCUGCACGAAUGGCGUAAUGAUGGCCAGGCUGUCUCCACCCGAGACUCAGUGAAAUUGAACUGCUGUGAAGAUGCAGUUUACGGCGGCAAGACGGAAAGACCCCGUGAACCUUUACUUGAACAUUGAGCCUUGAUGUGUAGGAUAGGUGGCAGGGGAUGCUAUGGAACCUUUCCUUUCCCUUCGACACGUCAGCAAAACCUUCCACGCCAACCGCGCGCUCAAUGAUAUCAGCAUCGACUUUAUGCCCGGAGAAGUGCACUGCCUGGCCGGGCAGAAUGGUUGCGGGAAGUCGACGUUGAUCAAAAUUAUCUCUGGCGUCUAUCGCCCGGAUGAGGGGGUCUGUACGAGAGCCGGAGUGACGCAUCACUGGUGUUCGGGUGUCAUGCCAAUGGCACUGCCCGUAGCUAAAUGCGGAAGAGAUAAGUGCUGAAAGCAUCAAGCACGAAACUUGCCCCGAGAUGAGUUCUCCUGAGACUUAAGUCUCGGCCUCGUUGAAGACGACGACGAUAGGCCGGGUGUGUAAGCGCAGCGAUGCGUUGAGCUAACCGGUACUAAUGAACCGUGAGGCUUAACCUU
rnacentral:rRNA from 1 species